GUCUUCCAUAGAAUGAAUGGCGUGUGUUUGUGUCGUGUGUGAAAGAGAAAGCGCGUGUGUUGACUGCUUGUGUGAGUGAGUUUGUCGUUUGCGUGUGUGAGAGAGUGUGUAUUUGUUCUAAAAAUCUACACAGUGAUCUUAUUUGAUCUGGUCGGGCUUGGCUCGACUCUGACCGGAAAUGAUAGGAAAGACGCUCUCGAGCCUUCGAGGCGAUGAGCAGCUGCAUCACGAAAAGCCAGAGCCUACCACUGCUUCUUGUUGUGGUUUGAGAUGAUGAUUUGAUCAGAUAUACUAGUUCACUGCGGUGUUGAGUUCAUCUCAAACCUCCGCUUUGGACAAUGAGUAAAGAGGCGAUUCUGAUCUAA